AGCUCCAGUAGCGUAUAUUAAAGUUGUUGCAGUUAAAAAGCUCGUAGUUGGAUUUCUGGCUUGAGAACGCUGGCCCGCCGGGGUUACCCGUGUGAGUGCCGGCCGUUCUCUGCCAUCCUUCUAGAAAACGCGUCUCGACUUCAUUGUUGCGGGCGCGCCAUCUAGAUCAUUUACUUUGAGAAAAUUAGAGUGUUUAAAGCAGGCUUGCGCUAUGAAUACAUUAGCAUGGAAUAAUAAUAUAGGGCUUCGGUUCUAUUUUGUUGGUUUCUAGGACUGAAGUAAUGAUUGAUAGGGAUAGUUGGGGGUGCUAGUAUUCAGCGGCCAGAGGUGAAAUUCUUGGAUUCGCUGAAGACUAACUUAUGCGAAAGCAUUCACCAAGGAUGUCUUCU
rnacentral:rRNA from 1 species